rnacentral:rRNA from 1 species
CAUGCAAGUCGAACGGUGAAGCGAGAGCUUGCUCUUGUGGAUCAGUGGCGAACGGGUGAGUAACACGUGAGCAACCUGCCCCUGACUCUGGGAUAAGCGCUGGAAACGGCGUCUAAUACUGGAUAUGUGACGUGGCCGCAUGGUCUGCGUCUGGAAAGAUUUUUUGGUUGGGGAUGGGCUCGCGGCCUAUCAGCUUGUUGGUGAGGUAAUGGCUCACCAAGGCGUCGACGGGUAGCCGGCCUGAGAGGGUGACCGGCCACACUGGGACUGAGACACGGCCCAGACUCCUACGGGAGGCAGCAGUGGGGAAUAUUGCACAAUGGGCGGAAGCCUGAUGCAGCAACGCCGCGUGAGGGAUGACGGCCUUCGGGUUGUAAACCUCUUUUAGCAGGGAAGAAGCGAGAGUGACGGUACCUGCAGAAAAAGCGCCGGCUAACUACGUGCCAGCAGCCGCGGUAAUACGUAGGGCGCAAGCGUUAUCCGGAAUUAUUGGGCGUAAAGAGCUCGUAGGCGGUUUGUCGCGUCUGCUGUGAAAUCCCGAGGCUCAACCUCGGGCCUGCAGUGGGUACGGGCAGACUAGAGUGCGGUAGGGGAGAUUGGAAUUCCUGGUGUAGCGGUGGAAUGCGCAGAUAUCAGGAGGAACACCGAUGGCGAAGGCAGAUCUCUGGGCCGUAACUGACGCUGAGGAGCGAAAGGGUGGGGAGCAAACAGGCUUAGAUACCCUGGUAGUCCACCCCGUAAACGUUGGGAACUAGUUGUGGGGUCCAUUCCACGGAUUCCGUGACGCAGCUACGCAUUAAGUUCCCCGCCUGGGGAGUACGGCCGCAAGGCUAAAACUCAAGGAAUUGACGGGGACCCGCACAAGCGGCGGAGCAUGCGGAUUAAUUCGAUGCAACGCGAGAACCUUACCAAGGCUUGACAUACACCAGAACACCGUAGAAAUACGGGACUCUUUGGACACUGGUGAACAGUGGGUGCAUGGUUGUCGUCAGCUCGUGUCGUGAGAUGUUGGGUUAAGUCCCGCACGAGCGCAACCCUCGUUCUAUGUUGCC